GACGAACGCUGGCGGCGUGCUUAACACAUGCAAGUCGAACGGACAGGCCCUGCUCUUGUGGGGUGCUCGAUUGGCGCACGGGUGAGUAACACGUGUGUAACCUGCCCUUGACUUUGGGAUAUCUUCAGGAAACUGGGGCUAAUACCGGAUAUGAUCUCUUGCAGCGUGUUGUGCGUUGGAAAGAGUCGGCGGUUCGGGAUCGACUCGCGGCUUAUCAGCUUGUUUGUCUAGUAGUGACUGACGAAGCCUUCGACGGCUAGGCGGCCUGAGAGGGUGAACGGCGACCAUGGGACUGAGGUACGGAGCAGACUGCUACGGGAGGCAGUAGUGGAGAGUAUUGCGCAGUGGGCGGAAGUGUGAGACAGAAACGCCGCGAGCGGGAUGACGUGCUUCUGGUGGUAAACAGCUGUGGCAGGAAACGAGGCGUGAGUGACGGUAACGGGUAAAGAAGCACCGGCUAACUACGUG
rnacentral:rRNA from 1 species